CCAAAAUGAUGAGCACUCGAAACUUCAGGCUCGAGAUUUACAUGAUAAAUGAGGAGGGUGAUUGUACCGCACCAUUCUCAUUGAAAUAAGAUAGGAUAGGCGAUUACACCAAACAAGAAAUCAAAGAUAUAAGUAACUGUUAUGUUGAGAACUAAAAACAGACAUGGUGCAAACAAUUCUUCACGAUGGUAUACCCAGCAGUUGAAGCAGAGGAAGAAGAAGAACAGUAAAAUUCUUAAGGGAAACAUUUUUUUUUUCUUUCAGCAAAGAGCAAUGAGAAAUGUUUUAGGGUUAGAGAGUCGUGCUGAUAACGUGUUAUAAAUAGGCAAAAGUUAGAGAGAUAACCUUUCCUAGAGACAGGAGUGAGGCUGUAGUAAAAUAUUAUAACAUGAUUGUAGAUAAGAGAGAAAUAAGAGGAUACUGAAAAUAUUCUAUCUUUCUUUCUUUUCUUGUUGUUCUUGUUAUUGUUUAACACUCGUAAUGCUCUAUUUAUAGAGCAAGUACCUUGGAAACAAACAAAUUACACUAUUAAUCAUAUGAAAAGUUCACUGUAUGCAUGUGGGCAUACAUACCUACUUUUUACAACACUUUCCACUAUAUAUACAUAAGUGCUCGGUGCUCUUAAUUAACGGAAGAGGAUCCUCUCCGGAGCCGGUUCCAUCGGAUCCUCCUCCUUCCUCUUCUUUCUCUGCAGGUUUUCGACCUCCGGAGACGGCGUCAUGCUCCCCCGGAGUGGGCAUAGGUUGGAAUCUGCAUCAUGGCAUCCCCAGAGCUAGUUAUCGAAAAUCUUCAAAACCACAUUGUCGGUGACGACUACUACGACGUUGCUGAUCCAGGGAGCCCACGACGCCGACUCCGGGGGAGCAUGACCCCGACUCCGGGGCCGAAAAAGUGCAGAGAAAGAAGAGGAAGGAGGAGGAUCUCGAGGCUCCGAUGGAGCCGGCUUCGGAGAGUAUCCUUUCCCCUAGUUAACAAAUGCAUUAGAUAUGAUUAUAAAUAUAAAAUGAUAAUUUAAUGCAAUCGAUAUUAUUAACUCAUUGUUAAGUUAAACACAUUAAUUUUCUCUUAAAAUAGAUAAUAUUAUUUGUUAAAUUUGUUUAAAAAAAAACAAUCAUCUCAUUUGAGCUAGUGUGUCACUUUCAAUUGAGAUUGUUUUGUUGGUUUGUUACAACUAUAGUCUGAAAUAUCGAUAAUAUCGACGAAAUAUCGAGGAUAUUUCGGUUUUUUUGAAUCAUGGAUAUUUCGGAACAUAUCCAUAUGCAUAUCGUACAAAUAUCGACAAUAUCGAUGAUAAUAUCGGAAAAUAUCGAUGUCGAUAAUAUCGGAAAUAUCGGUAGUCCGAAAACACGGAAAUAUCGAUGGAAAUAUCGGGAUAAUAUCGAUAUCGAU
rnacentral:lncRNA from 1 species